rnacentral:rRNA from 1 species
CCUACGGGGGGCAGCAGUAGGGAAUCUUUCACAAUGGGCGAAAGCCUGAUGGAGCAACGCCGCGUGCAGGAUGAAGGCCUUCGGGUUGUAAACUGCUUUUAUAAGCGAGAAAUAUGAUGGUAACUUAUGAAUAAGGAUCGGCUAACUACGUACCAGCAGCCGCGGUCAUACGUAGGAUCCGAGCAUUAUCCGGAGUGACUGGGUGUAAAGAGUUGCGUAGGUGGCAUAAUAAGUAGCUAGUGAAAUCUGGUGGCUCAACCAUUCAGACUAUUAGCUAAACUGUUAAGCUCGAGACCGUUAGGGGUAACUGGAAUUUCUAAUGUAGGAGUGAAAUCCGUAGAUAUUAGAAGGAACACCAAUAGCGUAGGCAGGUUGCUGGGACGGUUCUGACACUAAGGCACGAAAGCGUAGGGAGCAAACGGGAUUAGAUACCCGAGUAGUC